rnacentral:rRNA from 1 species
UUGAAAGGGAAACGAUUGAAGUCAGUGGUGCUGGGGGGAAAUCAACCUCUCAUCGGGAGACCCAUGGGGUGGGGAGCCUCAAAACCGCCACAGCAUGGGGCUCACGUGAGGGGGAGCCUUUCGUGGGCGCUGGGUAACAUCAAUUUCGAACGUCAUAAAAAGGCUGGGGGGAGUGGGUCCUUCGGGAGUGUUAUAACCUUUAGCGGAUGGGGUGGUCGGGAUUGAGGAUUGCAACGAAUACCUUUAGGGCUGGUCCACCUGGCUUCUCUUUGGUAUCCUGGUGACGACAGCUUGCUGGCGUCGUUAGGAUUCGCCUUUGAACAGGGUAGAGUGGGAGCAAAUUCGUUAAGGAUGUUGACGUA